rnacentral:misc_RNA from 1 species
UGAAGAACGCAGCGAAAUGCGAUAAGUAAUGUGAAUUGCAGAAUUCAGUGAAUCAUCGAAUCUUUGAACGCACAUUGCGCCCGCCAGUAUUCUGGCGGGCAUGCCUGUUCGAGCGUCAUUACAACCCUCAGGCCCCCGGGCCUGGCGUUGGGGAUCGGCGGAGCCCCCCGUGGGCACACGCCGUCCCCCAAAUACAGUGGCGGUCCCGCCGCAGCUUCCAUCGCGUAGUAGCUAACACCUCGCGACUGGAGAGCGGCGCGGCCACGCCGUAAAACACCCAACUCUUCUGAAGUUGACCUCGAAUCAGGUAGGAAUACCCGCUGAACUUAAGCAUAUCAAUAAGCGGAGGA